ensembl:snRNA U1 U1 spliceosomal RNA
UCAGCCCCUUGGCCGGGAAGAGUCUGGCACCACCCCUGGGGGUUUCCCCAGGGUAAGGCUCAUCCAAUGCAUGGUGGGUUGGUGACCCCUGCGAUAUCCCCACAGGUAGGAAACUCAACUGCAUCACUUGUCGUGGGGAGCUGCGUUCGUGCUUCCCCCUC